rnacentral:rRNA from 1 species
GACGAGGGAUCCUAGCGUUGCUCGGAAUCAUUGGGCGUAAAGCGGGUGUAGGUGGCUUGGUAAGUCGGGUGUGAAAGCCCAGGGCUCAACCCUGGAAGUGCAUUCGAUACUGCUGAGCUUGAGUGCUAGAGAGGUUAAUAGAAUACCUGGUGUAGUGGUGAAAUACGUAGAUAUCAGGUGGAACACCGGAGGCGAAGGCGGUUAACUGGCUAGACACUGACACUGAGACCCGAAAGUGCGGGGAUCAAACAGG